rnacentral:rRNA from 1 species
CAAUAGCGUAUAUUAAAGUUGUUGCAGUUAAAAAGCUCGUAGUUGGAUUUCUGGUCGGAAGCUCCUGUCCUCUGAUGAGCGAACAAGUGCGUCCUACCAUCCUUCUGUUAACCUUUAAGGCUUUCGCGGCUUUCUAGGGGCUCAGAUAUUUUACCUUGAGAAAAUUAGAGUGUUUCAGGCAGGCUAGCGCCGGAAUACAUUAGCAUGGAAUAAUGGAAUAGGACUUUUGCCUCUUCUGUUGGUCAUGAGGCUCGAGUAAUGAUUAAUAGGGAUAGUUGGGGGCAUUAGUACUUAACUGUCAGAGGUGAAAUUCUCGGAUUUGUUAAAGACUAACUUAUGCGAAAGCAUUUGCCAAGGAUGUUUNCAUUAA